rnacentral:rRNA from 1 species
AUUGAACGCUGGCGGCAGGCUUAACACAUGCAAGUCGAACGAGUGGCGGACGGGUGAGUAAUGUCUGGGAAACUGCCUGAUGGAGGGGGAUAACUACUGGAAACGGUAGCUAAUACCGCAUACCAUCAGAUGUGCCCAGAUGGGAUUGGCUAGUAGGUGGGGUAAUGGCUCACCUAGGCGACGAUCCCUAGCUGGUCUGAGAGGAUGACCAGCCACACGGGAACUGAGACACGGUCCAGACUCCUACGGGAGGCAGCAGUGGGGAAUAUUGCACAAUGGGCGCAAGCCUGAUGCAGCCAUGCCGCGUGUAUGAAGAAGGCCUUCGGGUUGUAAAGCACUUUCAGCGGGGAGGCGUUACUCGCAGAAGAAGCACCGGCUAACUCCGUGCCAGCAGCCGCGGUAAUAC